rnacentral:lncRNA from 10 species
GUGGCCCUAAUGGACGCCUCCAAAACUUACAAUGAAAAGCAUACUCAAAAAUCUUUACCCUCGUCUAAACUGCUCAGCAAGGCUCUGCCAUCUGUAAUUCUGAGCUCUGCUGUGCGGAGAUAGCCUGGUGUGGACUCUUGUCCCUAUCAUCUCCAUUCUCAGAUGCACCGUAAAUGGGAACACCUGGACUUCCUUGGAGAAAUCAGCGCUUCUCUUAUUUUGUCCCUGCGUAUUUAAGAUCCAUGUGUUCUGAUGCGUUAUCAUAGUGAGUCAUCACAGGAGUCCAGUAAGACAGGACUUUAAAAUUCAAGGCUGGCUCUGCAGAUGGAGCAGAUGAGCACGAAAUGCAGCCUCACCACCCAACCACGGGCAAAGCCUGUAUGCUUCCUCAGCUUUGAGAACUGUCGGCAGAUUCACUGUGAGAGUGAGUAUACAAGCCGCCUCCCAGUGGAUGGAGAAUGCACUCAUGUCCUGUAAGAAGCCCGGUUGCAGAGGCCAAUGCACACAUCCUCUCGAGUUGCAAUGGGAGCGGACUGUCAUGACUUUCCUUCUGGUAGUGGAUGUGCAUGGAAACUUCCUUUAUUUCUUCAUCAGUGGGACUUCUUUGAGUUCCAAGGACGCUUCUAUCUUUAGACUGCUGUAUUAUGAGAGAGGAUGGGAGAAAUGAGAGCAUCAAGAAACAAAAGACUCAUGGAAUCAUAGGACAUUCAUCUUGGAUGAGACCAGAGAGGCCAACCCAUGUGUGUAUUUCCCCACCCCAUCCAACCCCCAGCAACUCACUCUCCUCUGGACACACCCAGUGACUUGGGAGCAGUCAGCUAUGCCCUAUGGGAAGCACAGGAGCUGCCUGCCUGCUUGCAACGACCAGCCAUUUGAUUUGCCUGCUCUGUACCCUGGCUGCAUCUCAAGGGCUCUUCAAGGGACAAAGAAGUUACAGUCAGAUUGGUUUCUGUGGACGGAAGCCUGGCAGCUCAGCACCUGUCAUGGGCCACCCCGAACACAGCAAGUGGAAAUGCGUCCUCUGGACCCCCACCUGCCUGGGACACUCACCUCAUCCUGACAGGCCCAGCCCUUCUCUGCCAUCCCGUGCUGCGAGGCACCACCAACUGCCAAGGUGUGGGCUGAAGGGCAGCGGCCCAGGCCAAUGGAGACUUGGGGAAGGUAAGGAAAGGAGAACCAAGAAUUAAGUGGGAUGGAGGGAGCAGAAAAGAGAAGAAGUGUCCCAGCAAGGAGGAACUUCCUGGGAAGAUGAAAUAAGAGGCAGAUUCUCCUCGGUGAGUGGUUGCAUAAGUCUAGGGCAGCUCCAUAGUAAGAUUCCAGGGGCAAUAGGGGUGGAUGGAACAUCAACGCAACCUCAAUGGCGGACCGCGGGGUGACAGCGAGGGGUGCCUCCUGCACACCGACAGGGUCUGGUAUUUACUUUAGCACAGGCCUCAGGAAUACAGUUCUGCCUCAUAAAAGACUAGGGAAUGCUGACAAAAGAAAGUUCUGUGCUUUCCUGACAACUGCAUGCACUGUCAGGAAACAGUGGGUCCUACUUAGAGUUGAGUUGGAAAAUGGAUUUGGGGGCUGAAGAAUCAAAUGAUGCUGUGAAGCACUCUCUUUGUGGCGUCUUCAUAACACUUCAUGCUUGUGGAGCUGGCAGUCACUGGAUUCAGCUUCCUCCCAAUGCAGGGAUUCCUUACACACAACUGCUGAGCAGCAUGCAGGGACCUAAGGCCACUCCGUGGUGCAGCCGGCUAAGAAAUGACAGGGCCACCAGGCCGGCUGCACUCCUGUACCUUCCUCUCUUAUUCAGUGCAGGAAGCCCAGUGUUCCUGUAGCAGGCAGCCCCAUGGUCUAGCUCAGUCUAGCUCCACAUCCUGUCCUCAAUGUGACAAAGAUCCUGUGCUUGGCCAGUCUUUAGUCAGGCCCUGAUCCUUCUCCUAGGCCCAUUAGCAAGAACCCCAGCUAAGUCAGUCUGGCAAGAAUUCCCCACAGAAACAUGCUGACAUGCUGACCUGCCUUCAGCAGGAAACCCUUUAGGCUGGUUUGGCCAGAACUGCCCGCAGACUUGGCGUCUCCUCUGAGUAACUUUACACCCACUGACCCUCUGCUCCUUGGCCAUCAGUGCCCACUCGUCCCCGUUGUACUUGUAACGGAGCCCAACCCAGCUCUUCACUGGAGUCUUUUUUGCAAUAGUCCUGAAUAAAAUGUGCCAUCACUGAUUUGAUUUCUGCUGGCUCUGCUUUUCUUUGAUAAGGCGCCACCUUGCUCAUGGCACACAUCUCCUCAGGCUCCACCCGGGAGGGGAGAGUGGCACACCUUUCCCUCUCUCAGGAGAUCAGUUUCUUCCUGACAGUUCUUUGCUGACAUUCCCAUGGCUGAGCUCCAGCUCUUCUGCUGUCACUCUGACAUCCCCAAC